rnacentral:rRNA from 1 species
GAAUAUUGGACAAUGGGGGAAACCCUGAUCCAGCGACGCCGCGUGGGUGAAGAAGGCCUGCGGGUUGUAAAGCCCUUUCGGUGGGGAAGAAAAGCGCUGACCUAAUACGUCGGCGUCUUGACGUAACCCACAAAAGAAGCACCGGCUAACUCUGUGCCAGCAGCCGCGGUAAUACAGAGGGUGCGAGCGUUAAUCGGAAUUACUGGGCGUAAAGCGCGCGUAGGCGGCUUUGCAAGUCGGGUGUGAAAUCCCCGGGCUCAACCUGGGAACUGCAUUCGAGACUGCAUUGCUCGAGUAUGGGAGAGGGAGGCGGAAUUUCCGGUGUAGCGGUGAAAUGCGUAGAUAUCGGAAGGAACAUCAGUGGCGAAAGCGGCCUCCUGGACCAAUACUGACGCUCAUGUGCGAAAGCGUGGGGAGCAAACAGGA